AACAUUCCCCACACUGACCUCCGAGGGGAGCGCGUUGCAGGUAGAACGCAGGCAAAGAGGUAAAUUAUUACCCUCCCCCCCCAAGAGGGGACAGGCGAUUGAGCAGCUUCCAGGCCGGCCUGGGAGACAUGCCCAGGGUUGAGGGUUGUCUCGUGCCCUUCCUGGCCCUGCAAACAGCUCAGUGACUUCAGAGAGACCGGGUUCUUUAACCGGUGUGUUCAGAAAGCGUCCGUCUUCCUGUGGGGCUGAAACCCACAUCCCAGAAGGGCAGAGAGGGCAGAGGAAUAACCUUACAUUUAGUGCCAGCGGCUGAGCCCCACCUGGCACUGGCCUCCGGGCCUGAAUAGAGGGAUCGCGACUUUAUUUGCUGAAAAGAACUCCGACUGCCCAUCCCAUUCCGCAGGAGGCGCGGCCCACAGCUCAUUGUUUAAAACGACUUCAGCCCAGAGAAGGCGGGGAUUGCAGAGCAAGGCCUGAGAUGGCAGCGCUGACAGACGCGCAUUUUCCGCCUGCAGAGUAACUUACUUGGGGAAGAGCUCGCUCUUAUUCUCGGGGAGGAAACGGACGCACUGCGCUCUGAUGCUCUUCAGUCCUUGCAGGGAUGAUACCAGCACAGUGUCUUCCAAACGCGCCUCGCGCUCAGGCUCACAGCUUAGUGCCAGCGUCUGGGGAUCCUGAAGCUUCUCUCGCGUUUCCACGGCAGGGAAGUGUUCUGAAUACAGGUUAUAUUUGCAGUGAUCCCUGAA